rnacentral:misc_RNA from 1 species
GGAAGUAAAAGUCGUACAAGGUUUCCGUAGGUGAACCUGCGGAAGGAUCAUUAUCGAAAUACUUAUUUAGCGUUCCGUGCUAUCCCAUUGUUUUAUUUACCCUGUUGCUUCCACUGGAUGAGUUUCCAUACCUUGUGUUUGAGAAACUUUGGCUUGUGUAAGAUUCAUUCACGGCCAGCCAGUGAGAAGACCAUUUACAAAACCCUGUUAAGAACCAAUUGUCUGAAUAUUUUACUCCAAUGAAAUAAAACUUUCAACAACGGAUCUCUAGGCUCUU